ACUGGUUGAUCCUGCCAGUGUCUAUAUGCUUGUUUCAAAGACUAAGCCAUGCAUGUCCAAGUACAGUUCGGGAAGCAAUUCCUGGGCGAAACCGCAGACGGCUCAUUAAAUCAGUUGUGGUCUAAAUGGGCGAAAGAUAUCUUAUGGAUAACUGUGGAAAAUCCAGAGCUAAUACAUGCGAUUUCAGGCCCUGAGCCAACAGCGUUUCGGCGCUCAGUAACUCGGGGUGCUUUUAUUAGACCGAGGCGCGCGCACACCAGAAACGACUAGCGUCUUCGCGGAUGUCUAGCACCGGUCUGUUAGUUUGUGUCGCACUGUAAGCGCUAAAUGGUGACUCUGGAUAACACUUGAUGAGCGUGUCAUAAUUUGGCACGCCGCCUACUUACGAGUGACUGACCUAUCAGCUAAAACGUAUGUUAUACGCAAACGUUGGCACUGACGGGUAACGGGGAAUCAGAGUUUGAUUCCGGAGAGGCAGCCUGAGAAACGGCUACCACGUCUAAGGACGGCAGCAGGCACGCAAAUUACCCAAUCCCAGCACCUGGGGGAGGUAGUGACGAUACUUACUGAUGCGGGUCAGUCUUCGGACUACUCGCAAUCGGAAUGGCUAUUUUCUAAACACCCUAUCGAGAACCUACUGGAGGGCAAGCCUGGUGCCAGCAGCCGCGGUAAUUCCAGCUCCAGUGGCGUAUGCCAAUGUUGCUGCGGUUAAAAGGCUCGCAGUUGAAUGUCAGUUAUAAUACGCGUAGAAGUGCCGGGACGUUGUUCGGUUCAGUCUUCGGGCUGUUAUCGUUCCGUUCCUUGAGCGCAUUUCUCGCAAUCUAACAAUGAGUUCCUAGUGCGCUAUUGUUUACCUCACGGUUUUCGGUAAUGUCACUAGUUUCUCGACACCUUGAGUAAAUCAGAGUGCUUAAAGCAGUCGUUCUAAAACGGUCUGCCAAAUUGUUGCCUCCGGGUAGCAAUCGGUGUGUCUGUGACGGGAUUCGCGUCCUGUUAAGACAUUGUCUUUGUUUUGCAUGGUACGUCGGAAGACGCCCUAUGAGUUGGUCGCGCUUACAGUUUAGACACAAGCGUGAGGGGGCAACUCCUCGUGUGCGUGUGCGCCAACAAGUAGGGAAUGAUACGAAAGGGAUGGCUCGAAGGCAUUGGUAUUGCGGGGCGAGAGGUGAAAUUCUAUGACCCCCGCAAGACUACCCGAAGCGAAAGCGUCUGCCUAGGACGUCUUCAUUAAUCAUGAACGAAAGUUGAAGGAUCGAAGGCGAUCAGAUACCGCCCUAGUUUUAACCGUAAACUAUACCAACCAUCAAUCCGUCGACGCGUUCCCUUACUCCCGGCGUAUUCGCGGCAGCUUCGCGGCUGUUCGUGGUGCGUCGUGGACAAGUGUAAGCUCGAUGGGCAGUUCCUUUCGAACGGAAAACCAGAGUUUUUCGGUUCCGGGGGGAGUCUGGUUGCAAAGCUGAAACUUAAAGGAAUUGACGGAAGGGCACCACCAGGAGUGGAGCCUGCGGCUUAAUUUGACUCAACACGGGAAAUCUCACCCGGCCCGGACACAGCGAGGAUUGACAGAUUGAGAGCUCUUUCUUGAUUCUGUGGGUGGUGGUGCAUGGCCGUUCUUAGUUGGUGGAGCGAUUUGUCUGGUUAAUUCCGAUAACGAACGAGACUCUUACUUGCUAAAUAGCUACUCGAGCAUCUAGCUCGGAGAUAACUUCUUAGAGGGACUAGUGGCGUUUAGCCACACGAGAUUGAGCAAUAACAGGUCUGUGAUGCCCUUAGAUGUUCGGGGCCGCACGCGCGCUACACUGACCGGAUCAUCGUGUGCUUCCCUUGGCCGAAAGGCCCGGGUAAUCCCUUGAACCCCGGUCGUGCUAGGGAUAGGGAAUUGCAAUUGUUUCCCUUGAACGAGGAAUUCCCAGUAAGCGCGAGUCAUUAGCUCGCGUUGAUUACGUCCCUGCCCUUUGUACACACCGCCCGUCGCUACUACCGAUUGAAUGGUUUAGUGAGGUCCUCCGAUUGGGCCUGGUGAGCUCGGAAACGAGCCUGCUGGUGCCCGAAAAGACGCCCGAACUUGAUCAUUUAGAGGAAGUAAAAGUCGUAACAAGGUUUCCGUAGGUGAACCUGCGGAAG
rnacentral:rRNA from 1 species